CAGAGGAUAGCCCAGAGAAAUUUGGAUUAAUACCUCAUGUACUAUAAGGCCUCAUGGUUUAAUAGUUAAAGCUUCGGCGGUAAUAGAUGGGCAUGCGUAAGAUUAGCUAGAUGGUAAGGUAACGGCUUACCAUGGCGACGAUCUUUAGGGGGUCUGAGAGGAUGAUCCCCNACACUGGUACUGAGACACGGACCAGACUNCUACGGGAGGCAGCAGUAGGGAAUAUUGGUCAAUGGAGGCAACUCUGAACCAGCCAUGCCGCGUGAAGGAUGAAGGCGUUCUGCGUNGUAAACUUCUUUUAUACAGGAAGAAAAGACCUUGCGAGGUUCUAUGAA
rnacentral:rRNA from 1 species